rnacentral:rRNA from 1 species
GAUCUGGCUCAGGAUGAACGCUAGCUACAGGCUUAACACAUGCAAGUCGAGGGGCAGCAUGAAAGGAACUUCGGUUCUUUUUGAUGGCGACCGGCGCACGGGUGCGUAACGCGUAUCGAACCUGCCUCAUACUCGGGGAUAGCCUUGCGAAAGUAAGAUUAAUACCCGGCGGUCUCGGACGGCCGCAUGACAGUCCGAGUGAAGAUUUAUCGGUAUGAGAUGGCGAUGCGUCCCAUUAG